rnacentral:rRNA from 1 species
GACGAACGCUGGCGGCGUGCUUAACACAUGCAAGUCGAGCGGAAAGGCCACUUCGGUGGUACUCGAGCGGCGAACGGGUGAGUAACACGUGAGUAAUCUGCCCUUGGCUUUGGGAUAGCCACCGGAAACGGUGAUUAAUACCGGAUAUGACCACUACACGCAUGUGUUGGUGGUGGAAGGUUUUUCGGCCAGGGACGUGCUCGCGGCCUAUCAGCUUGAUGGUGAGGUAAUGGCUCACCAUGGCUUCGACGGGUAGCCGGCCUGAGAGGGUGACCGGUCACACUGGGACUGAGACACGGCCCAGACUCCUACGGGAGGCAGCAGUGGGGAAUAUUGGACAAUGGGCGGAAGCCUGAUCCAGCAACGCCGCGUGAGGGAUGACGGCCUUCGGGUUGUAAACCUCUUUCGGUAGGGACGAAGCGCAAGUGACGGUACCUACUAAAGAAGCACCGGCCAACUACGUGCCAGCCGCCGCCGUAAGAC